UUUUUUUCGUCCCAUCUCUCAUGUUUUUUUGGUACCUUCUCCCACCUCUGACUUAGCCACCACGAACCGAAAAAACCUCGUGCUGAGACCCAACCCGCACCCAUGCACCUACGACCGAAAAAAGACCUACGAUAGUUAACCAACGAAAAAAGACCUACGAAAACUAACCAGCGACAAAAAAACCUAAACCUAUCGCCCGCACGUGCGAUCGACGACUCCUGCCCUCGAGCGAGGUCUCCCUUCGCCGCCGCCCUUCAUCCCUUCGCCGCCGCCGCCGCUCCACCCAGAGCCGCCCUCUUCCCCGCUGCAAUGCCCGUGCCGAUCCAUCCCUUCGCCCCAAAUCCAUCCCUCUGCCGCCGCCGAUGCAUUCGCCGCCGCCGUUCCAUCCCUUCGCCGUCGCGCCGCACAUCAAAGCCGCCGCCCUCCUCGACCAGCCCCAGCUUCUGCCGCCUUGCCCCUAUCUUCCCUCCAAGCUUGACGCCCUCACCCCCCCCCCCCCCCCCCCCCCCCGCCCCCCCCCCCCCCCCCCCCCCCCCUCUUGGAGGCAGGCCACCCGCCGCUCAUCUCGGUGGCGUCAGGCGCGGGCGUCCCUACCAUGGCAUCGACGGCGCGGCGGCUCCUUGGUCCGAUCGCGGCGCUGAUGCAUCUGGAUCGACGGGGGUAGCUGGCUCGCUGGCUGGCGUUUCCUUGGAUGCGUACAUGUUCUAAUGGUGAUGGCAUGACCAUAGAUCGUAUGAGUCUAGAAGACUUUGAGGCGGUUCAUCUGCGUGGAUGGUUGUGCCUUUUUUUCCUCUUUGCAUUUUUUCUUGUUAAAUUUUUUUAACUUGUUUGCGUUGGCAACUAGAAAAAAGACUUAGAAUCCUAGAUUGCUACUUUUUACGAGAAGCUCGUACCUGAUCUGUAAGCUCACCAGCCAAGCUGUCCAUUUGGACUUCAGUAGAUAUAUGGAGUAUAUUUACUCACCUUGCCCACAACCUGUUUGAAGAAAUUUCUCUUCUGAUUUGUUGGUAUGAGGUGGCUGUUUUUUAUGUAUAUAUAUAUGUAUGUCCUGGGUGUCUAUUCUUAUCCUUUUUAGGUUCAAAGAUAAGCGCGCUCAUUAUAUUAAAUUUUGGUAUUGCAUUGUUGAGCACUUCCUGUGAAUGUUCUAUAGCCUCUAUUGUGCAGUUUUCCUUUUUUUCAGGUUCUCCAGAUGAGCACCGGAAAAUGGCAACUUGGUUGAACUGAAUCAGCUCUAAGCUCCUAAAUUUGUGCAUAUCUUAAAAACACUACAGUGCUACCUCCCCGUGGUAAUAAUAGAACAAGCAUCAAGACUUAUGAUGGUGUUUGGUGACCGAUAAAGAUGGCUGGAAAGGCUCUUUCCAAGCAUAAGGUGAAUCUUGUACAUUUCACUUCUUAAUAUAAUUUGGCCAGUAUGAUGUUUAUUUGCUGAAAACUAUAUCCCUGUUGUGGGUUAUCUGACUAAACUUGCAUUCUCUGCUUGGCACUGAUACAUACUCGUGACUUGAUACAUCCGUAUUUAGACAAAUCUAAGACAAGAAUUUUGAGACGGAGGGAGUAUAUAUUAAUAUGGGCAAAGGAAAUUCAAAAUAUUUUAUGUCAGGGAAAGAAUUCUAAAACCACAUAAGUAUCUUGGGGCUGGUUAGGACAGUGCUCAUAUUGUUUGAAACUUUACUAAUUUGAUACUCUAAAUCUAAUGCGAGCUACCGAUGGGUGUGCUGUUGAUCAUGCGAGAGAACUAACCCACGAUAGAGAGCUAUUGUUAGCAGUGUGCAGGGGUUAGGAGCUUCUCUGGGGAAGGGAUGGACAUCGACAACAUUGACUUCAACGGCCGCGCUGUAUCCUACGCACCAUGGCCACCUGGAUGGCCAGACACCAUAUGCAGGCGACUGCCGCGCUAGGAUAAGAGUACCUUAUCCCUUUCAGCGGGGUGCUCCAACUUCUGAUGCUGGUGAAGCUUUUGCAACGAUGGCUGCAUCAUCCCCGUUGGAGGUUUAAUUAAACCGAGGUAAAUAUGCCAAAAUCUUUUGUCAAAUAAAAACAUGACUGUCUAUUUUGCUUGUCAGGAUCAAGCUCUCUAGCUAUAAAUGAAAUUUUCAGAGUAGUUUUUGUUGGCUUUGUGUAACCCUGAUAGCAGCUUCUUGGAAGGUUCAGAUGUGUGGCAAAGGAUUUCAAUUUUCCUAUUUACACAAAGGAAACUCGAGGAAGGUUCAGAUUUCUCAUGCUUGGUUCUGUGCUCUGAGGGUUACAUAGACAAAAAUGCCUCCUAUUUACACAAAGAAAACCCGAGAAAGGUUCAGAUUUCUCAUGACUGCUUCUUGGGUAUUUCAUGCCUGUACCAUCUAUUAGGAAAAUAUAGUUUGUUUUAUAGCUGAUGAUGCUCGAUGCUUUUUAUCGAUAAGUAAAUGCUCAGUUUUAGCUCAUACACUACAUGGCAAAAGCUAAUUCUGAUGGGUCUGAUGCAAAUAAUUUUCAUCUUCUGACAUGCCUUGAGUUGAGUAGUUAAUUCUUUUAUAAGAAUCUAUGUACCUUUGUAUCGUUGCAGUUUCAUUAUACAUCCAUUUACCAAUGCAUCUAAAGAUUCAACAGUGUAGAAACCACCAUCAGUCUUGGGAUUGCAAAUUGUUUCUUCAUUCCUUAGGUGCGAAGGAGCCAAGGUCGUAUGUUCUCGAGGCAUCAAUACACUUCAUUUUCCUUUUCCUUUUCCCUAUUUAUGUUCUUGCAUUUAUUUCUUCUUCUCGGACCCAAUUUGCAGGGGGGGUUCUACUUUGCCUCUUGAGGCAAGUGUGGAUGUAUAUUGAUUGUGGUUGUUCGGACAAAAAUAUUGCGUGCAAACAUUAUUGAGUA